CAGCAGCCGCGGUAAUACGUAGGGUGCAAGCGUUAAUCGGAAUUACUGGGCGUAAAGCGUGCGCAGGCGGUUAUAUAAGACAGAUGUGAAAUCCCCGGGCUCAACCUGGGAACUGCAUUUGUGACUGUAUAGCUAGAGUACGGCAGAGGGGGAUGGAAUUCCGCGUGUAGCAGUGAAAUGCGUAGAUAUGCGGAGGAACACCGAUGGCGAAGGCAAUCCCCUGGGCCUGUACUGACGCUCAUGCACGAAAGCGUGGGGAGCAAACAGGAUUAGAUACCCCAGUAGUCCCUGUCUCUUAUAU
rnacentral:rRNA from 1 species